rnacentral:lncRNA from 1 species
AACAAUAACUAAAGCAUAGAAGGAAGGCUAAAAUAAGAAUUCAGAAACUAUAAACCGGCUCUCUUCUAGCUUACGACACAAACUAUGAGUGAGAAAAGGACAAAUGAUUCGCUCUUUGCUUCAUUUUUUCCGAGGUUGUCACAACAUGAAAUGUCAUUUGGACCUAUUGGACUCAUUUUAAUUCGGCCAAAUACAUAGUAACAUACAUAAGAAGAUUUUACUUAUAUUUACCGAACUAUUUGACACGGUCGCGUGAACUUUGUUUACGAGUGUCUUGUGUUCAGAUUGUUUUAAGUGAUAAUUUAACAAUAUUUUUCCAAAUAAAUGGAAAGAAACUUUUAUUUAUAUCAAAUAAUUGAGUGUCUCGACUCUGUGACAUUAUGUCUUGUGUGGUAUGGGGCUGCAGCUCACAUUCAGGAAGAAAAGAAAAUAGCCAACAACUUCUGUCGUUUCAUCGAUAUUAAAUCCAAAAGUGUCGACUGGAUUUACAUGAAAAGUCAGUUCAAGAAGACGAGAUGAAAAAUUUAAAAGAAAAGCUGAACAAGACACGCCUCAAGAUCAAACGACUUAAUGAAAAAAAAAGUCAAUGUGACAGGGUGUCACAAAGACAGUUUCUAAACAAAUUGACACUGUUUAGAAAUUAAUAAAUUUGUAUUUAUUGUAAAUAUAAUGUACAUAAUUAAUAACGUGUAAAAUAAAUACUUGCUAAUGAACAGAUUUACGAUCUAAUUUAUAUUUCAUUUUACCUCCUGUUCUUAUUUACUCCUACUCCAACACUCCAGGUUGAUACGAACUGCGCCCAAUAAAGAAUGUAAUGAAUGUUAUAGAUUUGUGUAAGCGACUUAGAUAAAUCUUGACUAAACCUUCCUUUACAAAUACAAAUAUACUUUAUUGCACACAACAUACAAUACUUACAAGUUUUACACGAAAGAUACAGUACACCACCUACCUACCUUUUACUUUCCCUUUCUGUUCUCUUAUGAAUACUUGUAUGCCGUAUUUUUUUUUAAGUAUAAUGCUAUAUCUAGUAGGUACGAGUAUGGUAAUCCUAGUAUUGAAACAGCUUGUAGCCCUAGUAAAGACCGCCAUUUUAUGUUUACAGAGUGGCACGUUUUUUCUGUAGGUAUUUCCAGUCCAUACUCUUUUCUAUGUCUAUGGCGUGAGCCCAUCGGGCCUCUUACCGUCUGUGCGGCUUAGACCCGGCGGUUCCAAUUUGCACGGCACGUCGAUCGACACCAGUGCACGGCGGAUGACAUCAUAAAUAAAUUCGAAUAUUACAAAAUACUUACCGAUGAAACGAUAACAGUUGGCUAUUUUCUUUCCUUCCUGAAUGUGAGCUGCAGCUCCAAACUAAUAUAAACCAGACAAUAUAAUCCAAAAAUGGUUAGAUACUUACCUAUCAGAGACAGAGUCUCCUUUCAUCAAGAAGAAGAUAAUUGCAUCCUACAAAAAGAAAUCUUGUAAAAAAAAUUUAUCGACAUUAAUUGUAAGUAAAUUUAAUUUUAUCGACAUAUUAGUAAAGUGAAACCCCACACUAGGCAAUGAAAAACUUGUGACAACCUACGAAAUUACGAAACAAUUUUUGUAUAUGCGUCUUUGUCUAACAUUACGCCGGUUCCGUAAGAUAAAGUAGAGCAGAAUUAUAGAGUUCUGUUGCUAUUUUAGCCUUCCUUCUAUGCUUUAGUUAUUGU